GGGCCACAUGCUCCCUCUUUCUCUAGUGACCCUUCAGAACCUUUACGCUUACACAUCGGGGUGAUAGUUACAAAGUUAGGAGGUACCAGGAAGGGCAUGUCCUUUUACAGCUGCACCGUAGCCAUUCAGUAAUCACAGCUGGGCCACCGUGGACACUCCUGGAGCAUAAAUGGAGGCGAAACAGAGGUUCUAGAGCCAUGCCAGACAAAUCUAAAACUUUGACAUCAGUCAGGACACUAACUACAGAGAAUUCAGAAUGUCUUGGCUGUGAAUCUACACUUCCAUCUGAUUCUGUUCCUAUUUCCUCCUGCUCAGACUGAUGCCAAGGUCAGUAUGAUGGUUAGGAAGUGUGAUGCUUCUGAAACAAGAAUGCACUCCACAAAAAUGCCCAUUAGAAACACUUUUCCUUCUCGAUUCCCUCUUUAGAGUGCCCAUCGGACUCUCGCAGCUUUGGGUGGUAAGAAUAUAAAUUCCAGGCUAGUUUCUAUUGCAAACACUCUUUAUCCAAUUAUUUAAAGUCUUCUACUUUGUGGUUACUUCCUAUAUUGAACUAUUAAAUCUCUCCACAGUAAUGACCCAUCUCCAUCUUCACCUAUUUCGCAGCUGUUUUGGGAGAAACUACUGCCUUGCUAAGGAGAAGAGCCUGUCGGAAGACUUCAGCCAUCUGGUAGACUGCCUCAAGAUGAGACUAAAGCUGGCUCUUCAAGAACGUGUAGAAUUCAAACAGGCGGUGAAGAAAGAAGAUCGCACAAUAAACCCUUCUCUUGAGAGACUGCAAAAAUCGAAGCAAAGCAUAAUUUUUUCAGUCUGAUUUCAGGUUCAAACUUGUGUGGUCCAAGGAGAACGGACAACCGUUUGCAUCUUAUACGGAGAAUAUACUUAGGUAUCAGUAUAAUAAAAAAAAUAAAAUGAGAGAAGGAAGGGAAGGAGGAAAGGAAGAAGAAACAGGGGAGAAACACAGGAAGAAACAAAAAACAGCUGGAAUAAACAUGGAGUUUCAGACCAAAAGAUUCAGCCUUGAAGCUUGGUUCUGCCCCUAAAAUAUGUGUGACCUUGGGCAUGGUAUUUAAUCACUUGAAUGUCAAUUUUGUCACUUCUUAACUAUAAAUAUCAACUACUUCAUAAAUGUGGUUUGAGCCUAGGGCUGUGAGAUAAAAUACAUCAUAUCAGGUAAUGUGAAUUUCAAGAAAAUAAAGCAUACUUUCUUUUAGUGUAAAUAUAUUCUAUGCAUACUUGUUACCUGAAAUUCAAGUUUAACUGACUGAAGUAGGCUCACGAAUGGCCCUUACAUAUGUCUAUGUCCUAAUGCUCAGAAGCUGUAAAUGUUACCUUAUAUGGCAAACAGGACAUUGCAGCUGUGAUUAAGAAUCUUGAGCGAGGGAGAUUCUCCUGAGUUUCUGAUGGGCCCAGAGACGUCACAUGGGUCCUUCAUAGGAUGAUCAGGAAGACUCAGAGGAGAAGACAAUGUCAAGAUAGAAGCAGAGGUUGGAAGGAUGCACUCUAAAGAUGGUGGAAGGGGCCACAGGCCAAGGGAUACAGGUGGCCUCUAAAAGCUGAAAAAGGCAAAUCAACAAACUCUCUCCCCAGAACCCGAAGAAACCAGCCUCGUUAAUGCCUGGACUUUAGCCCAGUGAAACUGAUUUUGGACUUCUGACCUCCACAACU